UGAGCUCCAAGAUUCUAACCUGUUAUUUUCUGAAGGAAAGCAUGAAACAGCAAGAAAGUCCUGACAAUGCAGAAACCUGAAAAUUUCUUCUUCACAGAAACUGGCAUUUUUAGUGUUGCACCUGGAUUUUGCUAUGAAAGCUCUUACCUUGCAAGGCAAGGAAAAAAUGGAAAAUCCUUCCAAUUACACAGUGUGUCUAUUUCAAUUACAUAUUUGGUGAUUGGAGAGAUAGCCAUGUGAUGGUUUUGCAGACCCAGUGGACUCACUGUGAGCCUAACCCACACAAUAUGCUUAUGUAUCCAUGUGCCUCAUGUCUCCACCAUAACUGUGCCUCAUCAUUAUACUCUGGUGUUUUGCAUACCAUUGUAAACUUAAAACUUGAAUAAAUAGUCAUAGGUCUCUUUGAGAAAUGAAUGCCCAGGAGUCAUCGUACAGUUUUUCCUCCUGAAGACCCAGACUCAGCCUCAAUCACUGUGUUCUCUGUAUGAAUAUUACCUCAAAAUUGACAGUUAGGCAAGAAGUCAUGGCACUUUAUUAAAUAAUUGCUCUCAGUCA